rnacentral:lncRNA from 1 species
UGGAGUGGAGAGUGGUGUUUAACAGUAUGAAGAUGUGUGCAGUCUUGGUGAAGAACACCAUCAUGAAACUGAGCAGGAAGGAUCACAGUAUUCAGAAGCAAAAGGCUUGUUUCUAGAGUUUGCUGAGAAAAUGAAAGGCAACAGAACU